UCCCCUCUCUGUCUCUUCUCCUUUGCUCUCUCAACCUCUGCCUUUCUUUAAUCUCUCAAUUCUCUUCCUUCUCAGCUUCUAUCUCUUCUCCCCACGAACCAGUCUUGGAAACCUUAGGGUUUUUGGUUGAACUCCCUACUGCUCCUUUGGAGCCUCGGCUCACUUGAAGCAAUGCCUCACCCCCUCUUCUUCCUCUCUGCCUCUCUUCUCUUAGUUUCUCGCCUCUCUCACUUGGCUUCUCUUUUUCAUCUCUUCUCUGGAUCUCUCUUCCCAAGUCUAUAGGGUGGACGUGGGUGAUCUAGAACCCCAAGGUUUUAUAUCAAAGUUUCGGUUACUCCCUCCUAAAGCUGAUGCUGAGCCCAGUUCCUGGCCUACUCGUUCCGAGAUGGUCACAAGUGGGAAGAUUUGAAAGCGAAGUUCAUGUGGUGACCUACUUUGUGGACGCGAGCUAAGUGUUCCUCUGACUCCCUUUUCCUUUCUUUUUUUUUUGGUGAGUGAUGUGUGCAAUACUGGUUGAAUGUUGAUUGCUUGAUGCUUGUGAUAUGGGUUUCGAAGUAGUUAUGGUUAAAAUUCAUCUUGCAGGUUAGGGUUAGAUUCUAGGAGUGAGGCCGAAGACGAGUCAACUCGUCUUUGACUUGGUGAGUCGGGUGUGUCAAACCAGCACGUUGUGUGAACUCAGACAUCCACGGGGGAACCACUUGGGCUCUACCACACAUGUCGGUCACGUGUAGGCCUUAGGGGGAUUGGGCCUGGACAUUUUAGAGAGUGAGUUUUGGGCCUGGACGAGUUGGCUUUUGAAAUUGGCCUCAGUUUAGAAACAGGCCGGCCCAAUAAGAUUUUUAAAACAGGGCCUCUCGAGACUUUUAAAAACGGUUUGGCCCAGACUAACUUUUAAAACAGGCCUCCAGGGUUUUUAGAAACGGGUCGGCCCAAUAAGAUUUUUAAAAUAGGGCCUCUUUAGACUUUUAAAAAUGAGCUGUCCUAGAUUAACUUUUAAAACAGGACUCCUGGGUUUUUAGAAAUGGGCUGGCCUAGAUUAACUUUUAAAACAAGCCUCCUGAGUUUUUAGAAAUGGGCUGGCCCAAUAAGAUUUUUAAAAUAGGGCCUCUUCAGACUUUUAAAAACAAGCCUACCCAGAUUAACUCUUAAAAUAGGCCUCUCAGGUUUUUAAAAUUAAAAAGGGUCCGGGUUCGAGGCCCAAACCUGGAUAUGACCCGAGCAAAGGUUAAAGGUGUUCGUGUCACAAUCCUGGUACAAGUUCGGGUAUGGGUCUGUACUUGGGUUCGGAUCAAAGGAUCUGAAUCUCAAGCAAAUUCAAAAUGAGUUUCAGUUCCAAGUUCCAAUCUAAAGCUUAAAGGCAAAUAGCUGCAAUCACAUACGAGCACAAAUUGAAUUGAGUAGAGUUAAGCUUAGCCAGAAGUUACCUCUUCUCUUCCCUCCUCCUUUCUUCUUGUCCUAAGCUCGUAGCUAAUAUGCCUGGGAUAUUUGGGGAGUUUUGGUUAUGCUUCUGAGUCUUUGGAUUCUACAGGUUCUUUUCCCCGACUCUAGAUUUCCCUAGGUGUCUGUCUGGGUGUCUGUUUGUGCCUUCAAACCUCAACAAUUCUUUGUUCUUUACACAGUUCAGUGUAGAACUCUCCUCAACUCUCAGCUGAGUAGAACCUUCCCCCCUCUUUUUUCGAUUCACUCUCUAUGUUGACAGAGCUUCCCCACUCUUACUUGCCUUCUUUUCUCUCUCAAUUUUUGCAGGGUGAGAGUCCAGGUGGCCAUCCAAGAUUUGAAGGCUUUUUGGAUGGUUCGAGCUAGCAGACGUGGAGUGGAGGGCAUUUUGAGUGCCCCCCCAGGUGGCAUCCCAGGAAUGGAUGGCCAGAUAUCUUUGUUAUUUUGAUUUUAUUUUUUAUUCUUACCCUGUGAUUUCUCUCUGUUAACUAACUCGCCUGCUCCUUUCUUUUGCAUGUAGGUGACUCUUGGUUUGGCCAGCUAGCGCUCAAAGAGAGAAGAGCUUUUGGGGGUUCCAGGUGGAGUGUGGGAAUUGGCGGGGGAUGGGAAGAUACUUCCAGAUGGCUGGCAGGGAUAGGCUUAACAUCUUUAUUUUGAUUUUUGUCUUGUAUUUCCUUUCUGAUGUAUGCGUACUGAUGUAUUCUCCCCAUGUUAUCUUUUUGAACAUUCUUUUGUAUUUGCAACAUUUCUUAUCUCAUUUUCCCC